GACGAACGCUGGCGGCGUGCUUAACACAUGCAAGUCGAACGGAAAGGCCCUGCUUGCAGGGUACUCGAGUGGCGAACGGGUGAGUAACACGUGGGUGAUCUGCCCUGCACUUCGGGAUAAGCCUGGGAAACUGGGUCUAAUACCGGAUAGGAGCCAUUUUUAGUGUGAUGGUUGGAAAGUUUUUUCGGUGUAGGAUGAGCUCGCGGCCUAUCAGCUUGUUGGUGGGGUAAUGGCCUACCAAGGCGGCGACGGGUAGCCGGCCUGAGAGGGUGGACGGCCACAUUGGGACUGAGAUACGGCCCAGACUCCGACGGGAGGCAGAAGUGGGGAAGAUUGCACAAUGGGCGCAAGCCUGAUGCAGCGACGCCGCGUGGGGGAUGACGGCCUUCGGGUUGUAAAAUCCUUUCGCUAGGGACGAAGCUUUUUGUGACGGUACCUAGAGAAGAAGCACCGGCUAACUACGUG
rnacentral:rRNA from 1 species